rnacentral:rRNA from 1 species
GAUGAACGCUGGCGGCGUGCCUAAUACAUGCAAGUCGAGCGAACGGACGAGAAGCUUGCUUCUCUGAUGUUAGCGGCGGACGGGUGAGUAACACGUGGAUAACCUACCUAUAAGACUGGGAUAACUUCGGGAAACCGGAGCUAAUACCGGAUAAUAUUUUGAACCGCAUGGUUCAAAAGUGAAAGACGGUCUUGCUGUCACUUAUAGAUGGAUCCGCGCUGCAUUAGCUAGUUGGUAAGGUAACGGCUUACCAAGGCAACGAUGCAUAGCCGACCUGAGAGGGUGAUCGGCCACACUGGAACUGAGACACGGUCCAGACUCCUACGGGAGGCAGCAGUAGGGAAUCUUCCGCAAUGGGCGAAAGCCUGACGGAGCAACGCCGCGUGAGUGAUGAAGGUCUUCGGAUCGUAAAACUCUGUUAUUAGGGAAGAACAUAUGUGUAAGUAACUGUGCACAUCUUGACGGUACCUAAUCAGAAAGCCACGGCUAACUACGUGCCAGCAGCCGCCGUAAUACGUAGGUGGCAAGCGUUAUCCGGAAUUAUUGGGCGUAAAGCGCGCGUAGGCGGUUUUUUAGUCUGAUGUGAAAGCCCACGGCUCAUUCCGUGGAGGGUCAUUGGAAACUGGAAAACUUGAGUGCAGAAGAGGAAAGUGGAAUUCCAUGUGUAGCGGUGAAAUGCGCAGAGAUAUGGAGGAACACCAGUGGCGAAGGCGACUUUCUGGUCUGUAACUGACGCUGAUGUGCGAAAGCGUGGGGAUCAAACAGGAUUAGAUACCCUGGUAGUCCACGCCGUAAACGAUGAGUGCUAAGUGUUAGGGGGUUUCCGCCCCUUAGUGCUGCAGCUAACGCAUUAAGCACUCCGCCUGGGGAGUACGACCGCAAGGUUGAAACUCAAAGGAAUUGACGGGGACCCGCACAAGCGGUGGAGCAUGUGGUUUAAUUCGAAGCAACGCGAAGAACCUUACCAAAUCUUGACAUCCUUUGACAACUCUAGAGAUAGAGCUUUCCCCUUCGGGGGACAAAGUGACAGGUGGUGCAUGGUUGUCGUCAGCUCGUGUCGUGAGAUGUUGGGUUAAGUCCCGCAACGAGCGCAACCCUUAAGCUUAGUUGCCAUCAUUAAGUUGGGCACUCUAAGUUGACUGCCGGUGACAAGCCGGAGGAAGGUGGGGAUGACGUCAAAUCAUCAUGCCCCUUAUGAUUUGGGCUACACACGUGCUACAAUGGACAAUACAAAGGGCAGCGAAACCGUGAGGUCAAGCAAAUCCCAUAAAGUUGUUCUCAGUUCGGAUUGUAGUCUGCAACUCGACUACAUGAAGCUGGAAUCGCUAGUAAUCGUAGAUCAGCAUGCUACGGUGAAUACGUUCCCGGGUCU